rnacentral:rRNA from 1 species
UACAGAGGGGGCAAGCGUUGUUCGGAAUUACUGGGCGUAAAGGGCGCGUAGGCGGCCGCCUAAGUCAGACGUGAAAUCCCUCGGCUCAACCGGGGAACUGCGUCUGAUACUGGGUGGCUUGAAUCCGGGAGAGGGAUGCGGAAUUCCAGGUGUAGCGGUGAAAUGCGUAGAUAUCUGGAGGAACACCGGUGGCGAAGGCGGCAUCCUGGACCGAGAUUGACGCUGAGGCGCGAAAGCCAGGGG